AGAGUUUGAUCCUGGCUCAGGACGAACGCUGGCGGCGUGCCUAAUACAUGCAAGUCGAGCGCAUGAAAUUAUUUGAUUCUCUUCGGAGUUGACGAUAAUGGAAUGAGCGGCGGACGGGUGAGUAACACGUAGGCAACCUGCCUGUAAGACUGGGAUAACUCGUGGAAACGCGAGCUAAUACCGGAUAACACUUUUCAUCUCCUGAUGAGAAGUUGAAAGGCGGCUUUUGCUGUCACUUACAGAUGGGCCUGCGGCGCAUUAGCUAGUUGGUAAGGUAACGGCUUACCAAGGCGACGAUGCGUAGCCGACCUGAGAGGGUGAUCGGCCACACUGGGACUGAGACACGGCCCAGACUCCUACGGGAGGCAGCAGUAGGGAAUCUUCCGCAAUGGACGAAAGUCUGACGGAGCAACGCCGCGUGAGUGAUGAANGUCUUCGGAUCGUAAAACUCUGUUGUUAGGGAANAACAAGUACUAUAGUAACUGAUANUACCUUGACNG
rnacentral:rRNA from 1 species